AGAGUUUGAUCCUGGCUCAGAACGAACGCUGGCGGCAGGCUUAACACAUGCAAGUCGAACGCACCGCAAGGUGAGUGGCAGACGGGUGAGUAACGCGUGGGAACGUGCCCUUCAGUUCGGGAUAACCCAGGGAAACUUGGGCUAAUACCGGAUACGUGCGAGAGCAGAAAGAUUCAUCGCUGAAGGAUCGGCCCGCGUCUGAUUAGCUAGUUGGUAGGGUAAUGGCCUACCAAGGCGACGAUCAGUAGCUGGUCUGAGAGGAUGAUCAGCCACAUUGGGACUGAGACACGGCCCAAACUCCUACGGGAGGCAGCAGUGGGGAAUAUUGGACAAUGGGCGCAAGCCUGAUCCAGCCAUGCCGCGUGAGUGAUGAAGGCCUUAGGGUUGUAAAGCUCUUUCGUCCGGGACGAUAAUGACGGUACCGGAAGAAGAAGCCCCGGCUAACUUCGUGCCAGCAGCCGCGGUAAUACGAAGGGGGCUAGCGUUGUUCGGAAUCACUGGGCGUAAAGGGCGCGUAGGCGGCCUGAUAAGUCGGGGGUGAAAGCCUGUGGCUCAACCACAGAAUUGCCUUCGAUACUGUCGGGCUUGAGACCGGAAGAGGUAAGUGGAACUGCGAGUGUAGAGGUGAAAUUCGUAGAUAUUCGCAAGAACACCAGUGGCGAAGGCGGCUAACUGGUCCGGUUCUGACGCUGAGGCGCGAAAGCGUGGGGAGCAAACAGGAUUAGAUACCCCAGUAGUCC
rnacentral:rRNA from 2 species